rnacentral:rRNA from 1 species
GAUGAACGCUGGCGGCGUGCCUAACACAUGCAAGUCGAACGAAGCGCUGGGAGCGGAACAUUUCGGUGGGAAGCAUCCAAUGACUGAGUGGCGGACGGGUGAGUAACGCGUGGGUAACCUGCCUCAUACAGGGGGAUAACAGCCAGAAAUGACUGCUAAUACCGCAUAAGCGCACGGAACCGCAUGGUUUUGUGUGAAAAACUCCGGUGGUAUGAGAUGGACCCGCGUCUGAUUAGCUAGUUGGCGGGGUAACGGCCCACCAAGGCAGCGAUCAGUAGCCGGCCUGAGAGGGUGGACGGCCACAUUGGGACUGAGACACGGCCCAA